GACAGAGGGUGCAAACGUUGUUCGGAAUUACUGGGCGUAAAGCGUGUGUAGGCGGCUUCGCAAGUCGGAUGUGAAAGCCCCGGGCUCAACCCGGGAAGUGCACUCGAUACUGCGGAGCUAGAGUGUCGGAGAGGUUGGUGGAAUUCUCGGUGUAGAGGUGAAAUUCGUAGAUAUCGAGAGGAACACCGGUGGCGAAGGCGGCUCACUGGCUCGUAACUGACGCUCAGGCGCGGCAGCGUGGGGAGUCAAACAGG
rnacentral:rRNA from 1 species